CAUUGCCCUUUUGUGUGAGCUGGGGGGUACUGCUCUGUCGUCUGGUGGAAAGUGAAAUGAGGUCUUUUUAAAACUGUUUUGCUGGAGUUUUGGAUUUGCUACUGGAAAAGAAGUUGCAGCUGAGAAGAAAGCACUCACUUUUUGUCAGGCUAGCUCUAAAACCAUCAGUUUGUAAAACUAAGCCAAUUCUUUUCCUUUUAGAUCUGCUUCUUAUUAAUCUGUGUUGAUCUCAGUUGUUAUGAUACCUUCACGGUGCCUUAUUUCACUCCUGCUGCAGGGCCUGGGUUCGCUGGAAGAGCCACGUCUUUCAUGCCAGGUUAUGGCCACACAGCACAGUCUGCCUCACAGAAAUCCUAUCACGGUGGAAAGCGUAGUCCAUGGAGAAGUCUGGCACAAAGCACAGAAAUGGGAUUCAGGCGAACUUCGUGAGAUGCUGAGAACGUUCAAUGGAAAAGAGUCCAAAGAAAAUAUUUUAACAUUUCCCAGUGUUUUGGGUGGAAAAUGUCUUUGCAGGGAAUAAAUCUCAGUAUUUUAAUUGUUCCUCCUAUAUUUGCAAAGUUAAAAGAAUAUAUAUUUUUAUCCAUGAGAUCAGAUUUAUAGCUUCUGAAGGCUGUCUUUAUGGAUAGGUUUUUGAAUGGAGCAUUGUGAGGAGGCCAUUUAAACAGAAAUUGCCCAUAGGUGUUAUGGGGUUGAAGGAAAAGGUGUUAAGACAUUAUCUAUACAACCAGCAGCUAUGCAUCAUUGAACUUAGUAUUGUAUCCAGACCUUCUGUGACCAUUCCCCGUAUAGAAUCACUUCCUGCAAGGAAUAUAGAGAAUUUUUGUGUUUUGUAGUUAAAAGGUGCUUCGUAAUCUUUAUAUCUAUCUAACCUGACUCUUGCUCCAUAUGUUCAUAUCCUCUGUAUUCCUUUCUCUUCCAUUCUUUAACCACACAGACAUGUAUAUAAAAGAACUAACCAUUUUAUUUUAAUUUCAUUGAUCUUGUGGUAACCAUUUGAAGCGAUAACUACUCAAUCACAGCAAUUUGUUUCUGGAAUGGUCAUCAAAACUUUUAAUGAAGGAAGGAGCAAAUUAUUUUAUUUGUUUUUAUCAGAAAAUUUAUUAUUUCCAGUCAGCUUUCUACUCAGUGUGCUCUAGCUAGUGAAUUGUUCAAGAGAUUAUUAAGAAGAUGAUUUACCUACUUUUUUGUGGGAACAGGGUUUAUAGUUUGAUAAUCUAAGCGAUUUGAUAAUGAGUUUCAAGUAGAAAGGCAAUUUCAAGAAAAUACUGUUCAUUAACUGUAUGUGGACUAAUGUUACCUGACAUUGAUCUGAAAUUUGUUGCACAAGAUCCAAGUGCACUUUAGCCACAAUUACCAUACUGAUCCUGCUGAAAUAAUUGAUUAAACUCCCGUAAUCUUCAGUGGAGCCAAGAAUUCAUCCUCACUUGAGGUCUUUAAGCCCUCGUUCUCUUUCUCUCCUUAAAAUCUGCCCUCUCCCUUUCUCCCUCACCCUCAAUUCCCCAAUCUAUGUUUAUGGGUUUACUACAUCCAUCAUUAAAAUGCAGCUAUUCCUGUUCAGCAGCUUGCAGCAGUGUUACAUAAACAAACGAAGAGAAACAGGAAUGGGGUAUCAAAUAUCGUAGGUGGCCUUAAAACUUUAUUUUUAACAUUUAAAAUACGAUUAAACCACAUUUUGACAUUUAAAAUUACACCACCUUGCCUUUGCAUGUGCCCUUUCUUCAAACUCAGAGUUUUACUUCUGACAACCUGAGCUAGUUCUGUAAGAAUUGCUCAAGUGCUUGAAAGCACGUGUUGGCAGGUGCAGCGAGAAGCUUGCCACAACAUAAGCAGGCACGUACAAGGAAUUCAAGACUCUUUUGCUUGCAGUUAAGGGUAGUUUUAUCAUUGAUUUAGGAAACAAAAAUAUCAGGCCCAGUGAAAUAAAUUAAAGGUGACUAAUCGCAUUUUCCUGUUCAUUGUUUACCUUUCCCUCAUCAUCUGUUCUUUAACUAUGAGCUCAUUAUUUUAUAUUACUUCAGCUGAAUUUGUGCAAAAGAAAUAUAUUUUCACAUGCUGUGUAACCAUCUGUUUGCUCUGGCAAGUUAUAUAGUUUUGCCUUUCAGGAGGCUGCCAUGAUAUUAUGCAAACAUGUCUGUUCAUUUGCUACACCAUCUUGGUUACCACUUCAGCCAUGUUCUCCGUUCCAGCUUUCACAUCUGUAUUUCUAACUGUGUCAUGUCCGGACUUAAGCCAACUCCAUCGCUAUUUGGAGAACUUCAAAAUGAAAGGAAAAGAUUAAUGGGCAUUUAAUAACCUGCGAGCAAAGCUCUCUGCUUUGGUUGUCUUCAUUGUUUAACAUGAGUUGAUGUAUGUGCAAAAGAGAAAAUGAAGUAGUGGGAACAAACUCAGCUAAAAGUCAGAUGUUUGGAAGUCAGAUGCAUUUUUGGUUUAGUGAGAGCCUGAAAAAGUAGCAGAUCUGUGGGAAACAUGAAAAUAUGUGCAUUAAAGCAAAGGGAGUCUCCAUUGGUCAGCUUUACUAAAAUACACUGAUAGAUCAUGCAGUACUACUUUUGUGGUCUGAAAAACAAAUAAACAUUGGGUCACAUUCUCAGUACAUGCCUGUAAGCAUAGGUCCUUGAAGUCAGUGAGGUUACGCCAGUAUAUUUUAGCUAAAAUCUGUCCCUGCAUACAAACAAAAAUGGUGAUGAUAGGCCAAUUUUUAUGACUGCGUAGGUCCAAUUCAGGUUUCUGAAAAGCUGUGGUGUCACUAGUAAGUACCUACUGCCAUUCAACAGAAUGAAUAAAGGAAUACAGGUUGCAUAUAUUAUAUAGCAUUAUUAUGCUAUGGAUAUUUUUUCCUACUAUCAUACUGAUAGAAAUAUUGCUUGGGUUUUACUUUCCUUUUUUUUUUUUUUUUUUUCCUGCUAACAGCAAACUACAUAAAUGGACGGCUUCUGCUAAGCUCGCACUCCUGCAAAACUCAGCUCCUGGAACGGACUGCCCCGAACCUGUGCUGAGCGAGGGGUAUUUCUACAUGACCUGUCAUGUUGGCCUGUGAGUGCUCCGGUGAUUUAAAUGAUCUGGAAAAUCUGUUUCAAGGAAGAAGUUCCUAAACCAGAGCUGGCAGCUUAAGAGCAGGAGUUGCAAAGCUGGAACUUGCAAAACUGGUGGUGUCCUUUAUGGGCACACAUACCAGCUCCAGAAGACUAUGCCGUGAAUACUUGUUUCCCUCUUGGGGUGAUGGGAGGAGGAAGACACACUCCACUUCAGCUUUCCAAGACACAGGAACACGCGAUGUAGUUGUGGGUCAUUUUUCCACUCCCGGUUUCUCUCUUGACGGUGACAGCGGUAUGCUACUAUGGGCUCAAGACUUGGGCUGUAUUUGCGAAGCGUGAGAAGUCAUUGCCGAGAAUAGACUAAUUUUCUAAUUAGAAGAAAUGUGUCCACGUGCACAUGGCUUUUCAGCUAAUUCCUGCUCAGUCAUGCAGUUCUUAAGAGCUUUUCUUCACUUACUAUGUGAUAUCUCCCAUGUGAGCAAGCUCAGUCAGCCAUGGUACAAAAUGGUAUCACAAUGACCCUGUUAUAUUGUCAAAACCAAACAUAGGCAUUGGCAAUUAUAUUGCCACUGACUGAACAGAGGAGCUAGACAUACAAAAACACAUCAUUCAGCUUUAUGAGGAGCCGAGUCGGACAAGGGGAAGAUAGCAGACUCCGUUUAGUACCUGGCCGUUGUAAUGCAUCUAGCUCCUGAGUGCACAAACCGUGCAACGUGACAUAUCUGCUCUAAUCAGCGUAGGAUUUUGUGGGAGUAUGGGUCUACGUGCACUCAAGGCGUUUGGCAUUCUUCUAUAAGCCAGAUAAUAUCGCUGACAGGGAGGGCACCGGGCCGCAGUGAAAAAGAGGCUGUUUGAGAUGCAGGGUCACUCGGAAGGCGAUGCAGUGCAGGCACUACAGAGCUCUGGGCAGGUUUCAUCGAUCAGAAGAGUUUACACCAACACGCAGAAGGAGGCAUUCACUCCUGAAGUUCUUCUGUCCGUGUAUUAGAAAGAACAACCCAGUAAGAUCUAACUGAGGAAAAUGCCAAGUGUUUUCCCUGAAUGUGGCAAGUUCGUGGCUUGAUACUGGUUCCUGCCUAAGGUCAAUAUUUAAUUAGAUGAGUGGAGCAUUUGUAUAAAGGUAGCUUCUUGAGCGUCCCAAAUGCUACAUCUAUUGGUAAAGUACUGGCAAAGGUUAUUUAAAGUACUUACAAUUAUUCAGUGAUACAAGUCCCUGCAAUAACAAGUUGUUUGCAUCUACAAUUACCGUGUGGAGUUGAACCAAAGACUAAGCGAGGCUUUCCGUGCCUGUAAAGUUUUAUGAUUGUACUUCUUUCUUAUUUUAACAGAAUUUUAUACAGUAGAUGGUGUGUGCACUGUGUAUUUUGGGAAAUGAAAGCAAUUACUGCUUUAAUAAACAUUCAGCAGAAUGUGA